CCAGAAAGUAAGUCUUUUAACUGCACGAAAGCUACUAAGCUAGUAUUACAUUUGAAAAUAACCAGGACCGAAAAACGGAAACUCACACGGCUAAAUAAAAUUCCAACUCUACAGAUUUGAACUUUGGAUAUGAAGAUUGAUCGAAUUCCGGUUCGAGAUACAUUCCGGAUCACGACAUUCUCGUCACAACCAGUCUGUUUAUUCACUGCUCACAUCACAAAACACAUUUGGAUUCAGACACAGAAGCGUACAUCGAAUCUCUACACCUCCUGGCAAUGGCGCAUGUCGAACUCCAGCACCUCAUCAUUCACACACCCAAUGUCAUCAGCAGGACUACGAGUCGAACUCCAGCAUCGCAUCCGCGUAGGCGUCGUGGGCGCCCUCGAGGUAGAGGGAGUACAUCUUGACCUCGUCGUGCUUGAACUUGUGCCUGCCCUGCUUGCCCGACCCGGCCUCUCCCUUGCCGAUCAGGGACUUGUACGCGCGGCCGACGGCGGGCUUGGAGUGGUUGGUGGGCUUCCUCGACGCCCUGACGAAGCCGCCGUUGGCCGCCGCCGCGCCCUCCACCUGCACCGCGCGGGACCGGCACUUGCCCUCCGCGUCGACCAGGCUGGGGUCGACGGUAAACACCCACCCGUGCUGGCGGCCCUCGCGACGCAUCGUGCUGAUUUGCGCUGGUUGCUGUGUUGGGAUUGGAGUGCGGCUGUAUCAGUGGCUCCUGCGAGAUUUAUAUGGCGAGAGCUGCGGUGCACGGACGGUUCCUUGCCGGCCA
rnacentral:misc_RNA from 1 species